rnacentral:rRNA from 1 species
GAAUAUUGGACAGUGGGGGGAACCCUGAUCCAGCCAUGCCGCGUGUGUGAAGAAGGCCUUUGGGUUGUAAAGCACUUUAAGCCAGGGGGAGGAGCUCUUGGCUAAUACCCAAGAUGCUUGGACGUUACUCCCAGAAUAACACCCGGCUAACCCUGCGCCAGAUGCCGCGGUAAUACAGAGGGGGCAAGCGUUAAUCGGAUUUACUGGGCGUAAAGCGCGCGUAGGUGGCCAAUUAAGUCAAAUGUGAAAUCCCCGAGCUUAACUUGGGAAUUGCAUUCGAUACUGGUUGGCUAGAGUAUGGGAGAGGAUGGUAGAAUUCCAGGUGUAGCGGUGAAAUGCGUAGAGAUCUGGAGGAAUACCGAUGGCGAAGGCAGCCAUCUGGCCUAAUACUGACACUGAGGUGCGAAAGCAUGGGGAGCAAACA